rnacentral:rRNA from 1 species
AUUGAACGCUGGCGGCAUGCCUUACACAUGCAAGUCGAACGACGCUAGGGGCAACUCUAGCGAGUGGCGAACGGGUGAGUAAUACAUCGGAACGUGUCCUGUCGUGGGGGAUAACCAGUCGAAAGAUUGGCUAAUACCGCAUGAGAUCGAAAGAUGAAAGCGGGGGACCGCAAGGCCUCGCGCGACUGGAGCGGCCGAUGUCGGAUUAGCUAGUUGGCGGGGUAACGGCCCACCAAGGCGACGAUCCGUAGCUGGUUUGAGAGAACGACCAGCCGCACUGGGACUGAGACACGGCCCAGCCUCCUACGGGGGCAGCAGUGGGGAAUUUUGGACAAUGGGCGCAAGCCUGAUCCAGCCAUGCCGCGUGUGUGAAGAAGGCCUUCGGGUUGUAAAGCACUUUCGGCCGGAACGAAGUCGCCCGUGUUAACAGCGCGGGUGGAUGACGGUACCGGAAGAAGAAGCACCGGCUAACUACGUGCCAGCCGCCGCGGUAAAAC